GUGGGGAAUUUUGGACAAUGGGCGCAAGCCUGAUCCAGCAAUGCCGCGUGCAGGAAGAAGGCCUUCGGGUUGUAAACUGCUUUUGUACGGAACGAAAAGGCUCUGGCUAAUACCUGGAGCUCAUGACGGUACCGUAAGAAUAAGCACCGGCUAACUACGUGCCAGCAGCCGCGGUAAUACGUAGGGUGCGAGCGUUAAUCGGAAUUACUGGGCGUAAAGCGUGCGCAGGCGGUGCUGUAAGACAGGCGUGAAAUCCCCGGGCUCAACCUGGGAGUUGCGCUUGUGACUGCAGCGCUGGAGUGCGGCAGAGGGGGAUGGAAUUCCGCGUGUAGCAGUGAAAUGCGUAGAUAUGCGGAGGAACACCGAUGGCGAAGGCAAUCCCCUGGGCCUGCACUGACGCUCAUGCACGAAAGCGUGGGGAGCAAACAGGAUUAGAAACCCGUGUAGUCC
rnacentral:rRNA from 1 species